rnacentral:rRNA from 1 species
CGUGUAGGCUGCUUCGCAAGUCGGAUGUGAAAGCCCUGGGCUCAACCCAGGAAGUGCAUUCGAAACUGCAAAGCUGGAGUCCUGGAGAGGAAGGCGGAAUUCUCGGUGUAGAGGUGAAAUUCGUAGAUAUCGAGAGGAACAUCGGUGGCGAAGGCGGCCUUCUGGACAGUGACUGACGCUGAGACGCGAAAGCGUGGGGAGCAAACA